rnacentral:rRNA from 1 species
UACGAAGGGUGCGAGCGUUGUCCGGAAUUAUUGGGCGUAAAGAGCUUGUAGGCGGUUUGUCGCGUCUGCUGUGAAAACUCAGGGCUUAACCCUGAGCUUGCAGUGGGUACGGGCAGACUAGAGUGCGGUAGGGGAGACUGGAAUUCCUGGUGUAGCGGUGAAAUGCGCAGAUAUCAGGAGGGAACACCGGUGGCGAAGGCGGGUCUCUGG